rnacentral:lncRNA from 1 species
CCGGGGAUGCCAAGCCCCUUCACUUCUGCCCCAGAGGUCUGAAACCUUUAGUUUUAUAUUUUUCUUUUGUGGUGACUUUUUUUCGUUCUCUUAUACUUGAAAAUUAUUUAAUCAAUAAAAUCGGAUUCUUCUUUACAGAGAGCCCCCCCUUUUUUUUUCUGCAUUCUUUUCCUUCUCUUUUGUCUUCUUGUACUAAUUUGAGUCAUGGCGCUUUUGUCUCCCAACGACAGUGCCC